rnacentral:rRNA from 1 species
CCUACGGGAGGUAGCAGUGGGGAAUAUUGCGCAAUGGGCGAAAGCCUGACGCAGCGACGCCGCGUGAGGGAUGAAGGUCUUCGGAUCGUAAACCUCUGUCAGCAGGGAAGAACGGUCACUGUGCUAAUCAGCAGUGAAUUGACGGUACCUGAAGAAGAAGCCCCGGCUAACUACGUGCCAGCAGCCGCGGUAAUACGUAGGGGGCAAGCGUUAUCCGGAUUUACUGGGUGUAAAGGGGGCGCAGGCGGCGAUGCAAGCCAGGAGUGAAAGCCCGGGGCCCAACCCCGGGACUGCUCUUGGAACUGCGUGGCUGGAGUGCAGGAGGGGCAGGCGGAAUUCCUGGUGUAGCGGUGAAAUGCGUAGAUAUCAGGAGGAACACCGGUGGCGAAGGCGGCCUGCUGGACUGCAACUGACGUUGAGGCCCGAAAGCGUGGGGAGCAAACAGGAUUAGAUACCCUUGUAGUC